rnacentral:rRNA from 1 species
CGGUUCGUUAAACCUCUUUUGGCAGGGAAGAAAAUGUUGCAGUUAAUAGCUGGCAAAACUGACGGUACCUGCAGAAUAAGCCACCGGCUAACUCCGUGC